CUAGGAAUCUGCCGGGUUGUGUUUUACACCCUUCCAAAAGGAACGCUAAGACCGCAUACGCCCUUUGGAAGAAAGCAGGGGACCUUCGGGCCUUGCGCUAUCAGAUGAGCCUAGGUCGGAUUAGCUUGUUGGUGAGGUAAUGGCUCACCAAGGCGACGAUCCGUAACUGGGCUGAGAGGAUGAUCAGUCACACUGGAACUGAGACACGGUCCAGACUCCUACGGGAGGCAGCAGUGGGGAAUAUUGGACAAUGGGCGAAAGCCUGAUCCAGCCAUGCCGCGUGUGUGAAGAAGGUCUUCGGAUUGUAAAGCACUUUAAGUUGGGAGGAAGGGUUGUAGAUUAAUACUCUGCAAUUUUGACGUUACCGACAGAAUAAGCACCGGCUAACUCUGUGCCAGCAGCCGCGGUAAUACAGAGGGUGCAAGCGUUAAUCGGAAUUACUGGGCGUAAGCGCGCGUAGGUGGUUUGUUAAGUUGGAUGUGAAAGCCCCGGGCUCACCUGGGAACUGCUUCCAAAACUGGCAAGCUAGAAGUACGGUAGAGGGUGGUGAAUUUUCCUGUGUAAGCGUGAAAUGCGUAGAUAUAGGAAGGAACACCCGGUGGCCUGAGGCGCCACCUUGACCUGAUACCGGACACUUGAGUGCGAAAAGCGUGGGGAAGCAACAGGGUUUAAAUACCCCCUGGCAGUCCCCCGCCGUAAGCGAGGUCAACAGGCG
rnacentral:rRNA from 1 species